ACAAACAAAGGUAGUUAGCAAGUAAGAGAAACUGGGCAAGAAAGAGAGAUGUCAAACCAACUCCUUAUACUGCAGACUUCUAAGUUCAAGGACAAGUCGAGAGCCUCCUGUGCCUCACCCUGAUCAAGGCCCAGCUGCUCACACACAGGUUUCCAGAUCCAUAGAGGUUUUAAUGUUGCAGAUCAUGCUCCCUGGGAAGCAGACUACAUACAG